rnacentral:rRNA from 1 species
UACGAAAGGUGCAAGCGUUACUCGGAAUUACUGGGCGUAAAGCGCGCGUAGGCGGUCUUGUAUGUCGAUUGUGAAAGCCCCGGGCUCAACCUGGGAACAGCAGUCGAAACUGCAAGACUUGAAUGUUGGAGAGGUUGGGGGAAUACCUAGUGGAGAAGUGAAAUUCGUAGAGAUUAGGUGGAACACCAGAGGCGAAGGCGCCUGACUGGCCAAACAUUGACGCUGAGGCGCGAAAGUGCGGGGAGCAAACAGG